UUCAUGCUUCCUUUUGGAAGGAAUGUAACCCGCACUUUAGCUGCUCCAUAUUUUGUGUCUCUUUUUCUAUUUCUUCCUCUCUUCCUGGGUGUUUUUCACUUCCAGGGAUGCCACACAGAGCCGCAGUAGCUCUGGGCUCCAUUUUUCCCCUGAGGUGACCAUGUCCUUUUUCCCACCUCAGCUCCUCUUGAGGUGCAGGGAGGGUUCUGCUGAGGCACCUGGGCUGGCAGGUGUGCAGGGACCCCAACGUGCAUAGGAGCAAGAAAACUGCCAUAAAAAUGUCCUUGCCUUGCCCUGGGGUGCACACCAGCCCUAGAGCCAGAGAGGCUCAGCGGAAAGCCGUGAGGGGAGAGUGCUGUGCCCCCACACCCCUGCACAUCAAAUGGCGGCCGCGCUGCAGGGCGGGAAGGGCCCCGUGAGGGAGGCCAAGGCCGAGCUUGCUGCUGCUGCAGUGCCACGUUCUUUAACUGGAACUGCUGCAUUUGUUGGAUCCAGGCUCCCACUGUGCAGACACAAAGAACAGUCAGCAGUGAGGGCACCAGGCCUCAAAGCUGCAACAUGAGCUGCAGGAGCUCUGCUUGCCCCCGACAUGAUGCUUUUAGCAGUCACUAUUUAUGCCUAUCGACUGCCUGAACAUGGACAUCUGUGAGCCAGACUCUGCCCUGCUGGAAAUGCACACUGGUUUAAGGAGCCAGCAAGAAGCUUUAUCAUCUCACUGGGAGUCUAUCAAUUCCCAGAAUCAUCCCCAAAGACCAGACAAUGUUCUAUUGGUGUGAAUACCAGAAAUCAAUUUUAGCAUGGAUGCCAGAGAUUAAUCAUCACUACUCUUGUCUGUUCUGUCUCCAAGCUAAACAAUUUGAUGAUAGUGUCUCAUUCUAUGAUGGUAAGUAACCACUAUUUGGUGAUUUCAUUUUUAUUGGCUUCACUGAAGUAUCCAUGAAGGGUCCAGGCUGAAGACCAAGAGAUUAUGGCAAACAGAAGGUUUUAUUUAUUUUGCAUUGUUUAAGUUACUUCAGAUACUCUGAAAUCUAAUUCAGAUGUGAGGUGGAGGAGUGCAUUUCGAAAAUGUGGGAUAUGUACCAGUGCUGACAAUCACAAAUGGAAUCCUGCCCACAGCAAGUACACUUGAUGUUUGUAGUGGUCUCUCAGCUGUCUCCUGCCUUAUCCAUCUAUUAGCAUUGCUUUAGGCUUGCUGACAAGGUAAUAUGACAAUUUCAGCACAAAAUAGGUGCUAAGCAAAGAGGACUCUAAACGGGCCACCUACUUACUGUGGAGAGCGUGACUGUUUCUGCAUGAAAUCCUUUUUUUGCUGUUUGGGAGAAUUCAAAUGUGAUUUUCUGUUCUUUGUGUCUAAGAUAAUAUGACAAGAACUAUAGCUGAGGGGAAGGAGAAUGAGGACUCUGGAUUAGAAAUGUGUUUAUUUCUCUAGGCAGAAGGUUGAUUGACAAGCUGAGUGGUAUCCAGUAUAAAACUCACUAAAUUUGGGAGCUUACUGAAGUAAAAUGAUGCUGUAACUAAGGCACCCCUGCAGCUGCCAUGGCACUAGCAGAGUGGACUAUCCUUUAGGUUUUCACUUACUCUUUUUUGUGUUAAUGCCUACAAAGGUGACCUUCUAUAGAAACAAAAGAUUAUUUCUAAAGGAAUAAUUAUUUUCUUAGACAUGGAAAAUCAGCAAACAGUGAGGCUGUGAUGAUACAGUCAUCUUUAUUUAUUACAAACUGACUGAACAUCUCCCACAGGAGUUUUUUACCAUGGAUCUCUUCUUUCUCGAUAAGGACCUUUAAAUACUCUAUCACUUAUUUGAAAAGCAUCCAUGUGAGUGUGUAUUUAUGUCUGUCUCACCCUUUUCCCCUUAAUGCAUUUUAUUUCCUGCAUAUAUGAGAGGUGUAUUGAUGCAGAAUAAGAACUGCUACGUGUUUGGUUUCCUUGCUGGUGUUCAUUUCUCUCCAGGUCCAACCCACCCUCCUGGAACUCAUGAAAUAGCCAGAUCACAGACUUUCCAGUUUAAUCACUAUUUCUUUUCUCUUAAAUAAAGAUCUUGUUACAAUAAACAAAGAGCAGUGUUACUAAUAAAGUCUCUGCUGUUAAUAUUUAAGAACUGUUAUAUGUUAAAAAGAUACUCAAUUUUAAGUACUCAAGAUUUAUUUUAGUUGUGUUUGUUAAAGAAACCAGAAGUGCUUAUAUAACUUUGAUACAUUUUUAAGACUUUAAAAUAUGCAUAAACUCCAGCCAAUUUUCUCUGAUCACAGCAUAGAGUUUCACCUUUUUGAUACACCAGAUGGAAGUCAACAUCUAAUGGUGCUCUGGUUAAAACUGUUUUAAAUACUACAGAACAGUAAAACCCCACACACCUCAGUAGAAUUCCUGCUUGCACUACAGAAGACAAGAUUUUAAAAUAAAGGAAUUGAUGCUGAAAUAGAAUUGAAAAGUUAAAUCUGUUUAUUUCAAUUUAAAGAACUUAACUGCAACCAGAUUUAAAAAAGGUUUAACCCAAGCACAUUUCAGCCAUUUCAAAUUUUAAGGUAGUUAGAAUAUAAUCACAUUGCACUGUUUCUAUGCUGCACUUUCCCUCACAUUAAAAAAAUGUUUACUACAGUACAAUUUGACUCUGAUUAGAAAAGUGGAAAAUACAGUGUACAGAAGUGCCUGGAAGAAGUUUAUUCAUUGUCAUGUAGGCUCAUCUUGGGCAAGAUCAGACAACCCUGUGAGCUUGUCAGCAGAGAGCUGAGCCCUGCAGGUCUGUGGCAGCACUGAUGGAUGUGAGCUCAGCAGCACGAGGGGCUUUGGUACUGCAGGUCAGCCAGAGCACGUCUGAAACCCUUUCAUCCUUUUCACAAGGAGCUUCUAACUAUGAGGAUGCUAAAUAUGCUACUUAAAAUGAUAUUCUGGGACAGGUGCAGGUGAGAGCUCUUCUUGGGCAGUUCUGCCUCUGCAGUUAUAUCCCCACAUGCUGAUGAUGCCCUGGCUGAGCUGUAAACACAGUUCCACACAGUUCUAAUGGAGAAGACCUGAUAGUAGCAUUACUAUACCAAUUUUUAUAAAAUAACUUAUGACAGUCCAUAAUGGAUACUUCUAAACCACAAAGAUUAAAAGGUAAUUUUUGAAUAGAGGAUUUUAACUUCAUAUGUGAUGUCUUAAAAAUUUGAAAGAUACUCUUGAUUUUUUAUGCAUAAGAAAAUGUAUUUUGAACCAAGCAUGGAAAUAUUUAUUAAUGGAGAUUUCAGACUGAACAAAUUUCUUGAUUAAGUUGCUGUUGCUCUCUGAAAUGUCAGAACAAUUUUCUUGCAACAGAACAAUUUUCUUGCCAAAAAACCAUUUAUUGUAUGAAUAUUAGCUGGAAAGUCUGAGAAGGAGGAAAAAAACCCAGACCCCAAUUUUCUGCUAUUCACUUUCAUGACAGUCUUUUGAUUUGUUCCCUUUUAGCUCAGUCAUUGCUUUUCCUCACUGUCUCAUGUACAAAGCAAACUGCAUACCAAAGCCACACACUUUAUAUGAUUCAGAAGUUGGAAAGGAGUAGAGAUAUUAUUGCAAUUUAUUUCAAUAACAUAAUGUCAGCAGGUUGCCUUCCUUUCAUUUUGGCAAGAUAAUAAUUCUUAUAAAUGCUACUUUAAUACACAAUUCUUUACACACUUUAUGUUCUGCUCACACCAUAUGUUACAUUAAAUGCUAGAGAAAACUAAGUUUUGAAGAGUCUUUAUUGGGCCUCAUUUUCUUUCAAAUAUUAACAAAGAAGAAAAUUAUACUAGACAUGAAGCUGCAUCCACAUACGAGUUUACACUUCAUUCCAAAAAUGUAUUUAGAAAUUGUUCUAUCUUUGUUAUGGUCUUCUUACAGUGUAUGAUUAGGCUAGCUGAAAUAUAUAUACAAAAACAUAACAGGAUUGGAGUAACAGAAUUCUCUGAAUUGCCUGCAGAAAUAAGGGUUUACCUCACAAAGUAAAAUGUUCACUUUUCUACAAAAAGCAAGUCUAGUUAUAUCUGAAACAAACUAUAUGGAGAGUAUAAUAAAGCUUGAAUGUUUAGGUGAAAGUUGUUCGAAAGGAAAAUCCAUAUGACAUUGAAAGAUAUGGUUUUAUUAGUGAAGCAACUGGUAGAGCCCAUGGCUGCUACACCAUUUUAGAAAGAGAACAGAUACAUUUCUGUGUAUUUGAGUAAAUGUCUUGAAGAAUAGCAUUAUGUGAGUCAGAAUAGAAAAUUACUGGGGAAAAUACAUGUAGCCUACCUUUCUCUCACUCUGCUCAAGUAUCCAAAGGAACACAGAUUGGGUAUCUAUGAAAAGAUAUAAUUACAGUUUUUUAAAAUGUGUCAUCCAUCCUCUUUCAUUCUACAGCUAAAUUAGCACAACCCAAGCAUGCAGUAAAAAUAUGAAGCAUAAAAUUAGGACUAUUUUAUCUAUCUAUAUGUAAUACAGAGUCAAUGUUUAGAAUGAGUAUGGGAAGGUCAAGGCCUUGACAAAAUCCUACUGGAAACCUGCAGGACUUUGGUGGAAAAUCCUACUGGGUCUUUUACAAAGUGAGAAGCCUGAAGUCUCCUCUGAGCUUCGGCGGGCACAGCGGCUGGCUGCUCGCUGCAAACAAGAAGACUUGUUGCCAAACCACACUGUUGCCAAAUCCCUAACGGGCCUGCUCUGCUGGGGCCUCACCCCCCAAGGUGUUGAAGGCUGCACCGAGGUUUUCCAGGAUUCUUUGCACCAAGGGAAGGGCUUCUGCCAGGUUUGUGAAACAAACUCCACAGCAGUUAGAAUUGUUUCAGAGCAAGCAGAUAGAUUCCACCUGGUUCUCUUGAAACUUAGAGGAAAGCUUCACUACUACUUGGUGAUUAAUUUUAUCAUGUUCUCUUUAACAUAGAAGCUAUAGCCACCUUAAGAUUUUAAAACAGCUGUUGUAUAUGCGAGAAAAUUCAGCAGCGCUGUGCCUCACGUUGCAAAGUGGGGAGUUUUCUCCUGAAAUGGGCUACUGUGUAAACCAUGGGUUUGCAGCUACCAGCAGUAACAAAUAACAAGUGCUUUCAAAGCAGCACUAGAACUGGAGUGUUCCUGUAUUUCUAACUGUAAGCCUGUCUUUGUUUCCAGAGAAUAAGGAAUUCUGAGAAAAGGAGACAGGUCUUUGGAAUGACAUAUGCUUUCCACCUUCGUCUUAGUA